UGGCGAACGGGUGAGUAACACGUGGGUGAUCUGCCCUGCACUUUGGGAUAAGCCUGGGAAACUGGGUCUAAUACCAGAUAGGACCAUGCUUUGGAUGGUGUGGUGGAAAGUUUUUUCGGUGUGGGAUGAGCUUGCGGCCUAUCAGCUUGUUGGUGGGGUAAUGGCCUACCAAGGCGUCGACGGGUAGCCGGCCUGAGAGGGUGUACGGCCACAUUGUGACUGAGAUACGGCCCAG
rnacentral:rRNA from 1 species